GGAUGGAGAGAGCAUUGUUGGACCAAACCUCAUCUAUGUACUCAACUAUGAUUGCAGAUUCACAUAUGACUUUAUCUCCAUGGAAGAAAACUGGGAUUUUCUUGUGCACAGGGUUGGACUUAAGAAGCAAUUCACUUUUGGGAUUCAAAGUCUCUUCAACAACCUCAUAAUCCAAACCCUUGAGGUUAAGGGCAAUCUGCACCCUCAGGGCAAAUGGACUGAACCAAGCACCCAAAAGCCUCAAGUCCCUUUCAGCCAUCACUGUUUACUAUAACAGGUCAAACACGGAGCAAUAUUGUGUUUGUUUUGUUAGGUUACUCAGCAGGAAAUGUGGAGUUUUAUGUAUGGGAAAGGAGGGUGAGAUAACAUUGUGUGAUAAGCAUGCUAGAAUAAAUUAUUAGGUAAUCCUAAAUCAUCCAUGUAUGUAUGGAAUAUUGACCAAUUUACAAGAAACAUAUAUUUAGAUUAUUUAAUUUUAAAAAAAUAAAUAUAUCCAGAUUAAAUCAGUGAUAAAUUAAACCACGACCACCUAAUAAUGUUUUCUUGAAUAGAGGCUACACCAAAUAUAUUAUGCAUUGAACGCAUCAAAUAUGUCGAUGACAACUGAUUAAAGAUAUUAUAUAAUGAUUAUUAAUAUAAUAAUACAAAUUAAAAAAGACAAAGGAAAUUACACGAUGCUGGAAUCAAAGUUCUUCUGCAAAAGUCAAAACUACCCAGGACGUCGUGAAUGUAGGAACCGCCGACGAUACUGACUUUAAAUGAGUUUUAUAUGUUCUUUCGUACUAUUGUAAUUAUAAUGAAAAAGAAAACCAGUCCUCAACAGAAUUUUAUCGUAAUGAAAGGAAAAAAAAAAUGUGACGCAAGUGAUGAAGUUAGAUGCCAAUAAAGUUCUUAAUAAAAACUAAAGAUGAAGGAAGCAAUGAUAAUAGAUGCCAACGUUUUCCACGGUUUCACAUCUUCUUCCUCCAGUUUUUCAAUAUUCAGUUUCAUAUAUCUUUAUUGUAUAAAGUCUUAUGUUCUGUGAUGACGUAUUGUCUUGACUCUUGAGGGCAAGAGAGACAUAAGAGAGUGAGAAUGCCAAAGACAUAGGGAGUAUUUUUUUUUCUUCUUAAAUUUAAUUUAAUAUCAUUUUAUUUUUAUUUAUUUAUAGAUAUUUUUAAUAUGGUGGCACUAUCUUUUUUAAUGUGUUGAACCCUUCAUAUUUAGGGUAGUGACUACUACCCAAGUUUUUCCCUUAGGAAAAUCAACUCAAAUUGUUUAAUGUGUCCAACUCUUCAUAAUUCAUAUAUAGGGUAGUGUUUUACCCAAGGCCUCCUCAAUAGUCAAUACAUGAACCCAAAAAGUUGAAAUUCACACAACAGUGGGACACAAUAAUUCAAGUGGGACAAACUAAUAGUACUGCAGUUCAAAGAACAAGCCAGAAUUGCGUUAUCUUGUUUUUCUUGAACGAUUCAAUAUUUAAAAGCCUUACGAAUGCAGUUUGACCAUUUGAGAUGAAAAAUAAUUUAUAAAUAUAAUAAGUGAUAUGACUUAAUAAGAAAAUUGAAAUACAAAGAAAUAAACGAUAAAAAAUAAGUAUUUGUAAUAUAUGAGAUAUAAUUGUUUAAUCUAUAAUAAAUUACCUCUAAUUUGAAUUGAGUUAUGUAAAUUUAUUCAAGAGGAUAAAUAUCUUUUGAUAUAUACUUUUAUUUGAUUUUUAAUUUGACUCUUAAUAAAAAUUAAACUUCUCAUCGUUUAGAGUUUGAUAUUCCACAUUUUUUUAAUUCUAGAAAAUUAUUUUGAUUUUUAAAUUUAGACUUUCACCUUUGUAUUGCAAUGUGUAAUUUUGAUAUUUUUAUUUUACAAUUUAUCUAAAUUUUUUUCAAUUUUUUUUACGUACCUAUUAGAGAUGAUAUGAUUGUUUGAUGCAUAGUGAGAUUUUUUUUUAUAAAGGUUAUUGUUUUUCGUCACAAAGCUGUAUGGUUGUUUUUCGUUCUCACACUUUUUUUAUUUACCCAAACCUACUUCAUGUAAAAAAAAAACAUUUUAAUAUUACGAAGAUAAAAAAUAUACUAAAAAUUUACAGAAACAAAUUUUAAAUAAUUUCAUAUUUAUAAGAAUAAAAAUCAUAUUUUAACAUAUACUUUUCACAUAUACUUGAUAUAAGUUGUGUGCCACCGGGCCCUCGUAUAAGUGGCUAGUAACUUAGGUUUUUUUAAAUAUAUAAUAGGACAAAAUUUGUUGGGAAAAGAAUUUUUCUUUAAUUGGUACUCUACUUUUUUUUAGUAAGUUUCAUGACUUUCGGUAGUGGAAAUAUUUUUGCUUCUAGAUAAAUAUAUAUAUAUAUAUAUAUAUAUAUAUAUAUAUAUAUAUAUAUAAGUUGUGUAUCUUUCCAAAUAAUAUUUUUUAGUAGAACCAUUACUAUAUUGCGUUUGAACAUGAUUUUGAAUUCUAAAUCACAAUUUAACUGAAAAUGGAAUAAAACUCUUUAUAUGUAAAACUAACCAUGCUAGCAGCCCAUGGAGAAGAAGAAGGGUAGUCUUGCAGAGAAGAUGGUGUUUUUGUUCAACAGUAUCCUCUUUAAGUUAGUCUGCUGUCAAGAGCUACCUGGCCACAAAACAAAUGGAUUGAGCCCACUUGAGGGAUUUUAUUGUAACUGUCCUCAAGAAACCGAAUCUCCUAAAAUAAAGAAAAAAGCAGGGUUCUUUGCUUCAUCAAACACUUUUCUUUCAUUCAUCUCUUCUAUCACUCUCAUCCAACUCCAAAGGCUCCCAAAAGCAAUGUCAAUAAUUCCAAUUGUAUCCCCUCCCAAAGUAGGCCUUUCCUUCACUGCACUUGUUGAACACUUCUUCCAUCCUCUCAAGUGCUUCUUCCAUUCCCACAAAGUGUGGCUUCUUUGCCUCAUCAUCUUGAUCAGCUGCUUCAGCCAAUAGAGCAUUCCGCAUGGACGUAUACCACUACUCCAAGACUAAAGAUUAGUACUUAUUCAAUAAAAAACACACGAAAGCUUAUAGCCUCUAUAAGUUGGAAGUGUUGCCGCAUCCAACACCGACAUACCCUAGCAUUUGUUUCAUACUUCUUAUUAGGUAUAUAACUUAUACAUUUGAAAAAACAUUUUUUGGUUAAUUUUAAAAAAUAAAUAUAUCAUCAAUUUAGAUAUUUUAUUAUAUGUUAUUAUUUUAUUAGAAUCUCUUUGUUUAUUUGUAUGUGGUGUCCGUAUCAUAGACAUUAAGACAUUAGUUUGUCGAAGUGUUUGUGUUAGAAUUUGUGCUUCAUAGCUUAUAACUAACUUUUGAUGAUAAUUAAGCUGUUCAUGCAACUUAAUAAAAAAAACUUCUUGAAAAGGCCACACCGCCGCAGGUAACUUAGCGAAACACAUUACUUACAUGAGUUCAAUUAAGUUACAUAUAUAAAUUAUUGAGAAAUGAUACCGUACCACUGUAAAUUAAGAAGUUCGGGUAUAGUUGAAUUUUAUAACAUCUAUUAUUUCUUCUCUACCCAUUCAUUUGCCUCCAUAUUUCAAAGUAAUAAACUCAACUCAUAUAUUCUUGCCUUCUUUCUUUAUUUCACAUUAACCCGCACAUCAAUCCAGCACCAGCGAAUUGAGUUUGAGUUUGAGUUGUGUAAAUUACAUUUGAGGCUUGCAGCUAACAAUUAACAUGAAUUUUGUCAUUGGUACGUCUACAAAUUCUAUAAACUCUUCUCAGUAAUAAUAUUAUGCCUCCUUAUCAUUCGUUUAGCUCAAACUAUAUUUACAUAUAAGUUCUAACUUCUAAAAUUCUAAAUAUACUGUAUAUGAACGCAGCAGCUAAACACAGCUUGCUCAAAACGACUAAGUGUGGAACUUCCUAGCUUCGGAGUCCAGAAUUCUAGAAAAGUUAAAGCACUGUGGAACUCAUAGAUUCUUGCUUUUAUUAUUAUUAUUAUUUCACAUUAACCCGCGCAUCAACUCAGUGAAUUGAGAUUUGAGUUGCCCAAAUUAUAUCUGAGGCUUGCAGUUGGUGGAUUGAUGCGCGGAUUAAUGACACAAAGAAAUAAGGAAAGAAUCUAAGUUGAGUUUAUGUUUUUGAAAUAUGGAGGCAAAGAAUGGGCCGAGAAGAAAUAAUAGAUGUUAUAAAAUUCAGCUGUACCAAAACGGCAAAACCCCCUUAAUUUAUGGGUACGUUCUCUAAGUUAUUUCUAAGUUAGUUAGUAAAAGUAAAAAUAAGAAAACCAAAAACCAAAAUCCAAAAUCCAAAAUCAAAGGGGUUUAGUUUAGAUGGUAAAACUCUGGUACCUUCUUCGAUUUUUAGCGAUGAAAAAAAAAUCAAAACCAAAAGGAAUAUAUAUAAAUACCUUGUCAUCGAUGUAAACAACCCAAAAUCGGGCAAUAGCUCGGUCAUAAGCAUUUUAUGGAAGGAGGGAGGGAGCAUUGUUGAACCAAACCUCAUCAAUGUACUCAACUAUGAUUGCAGAUUCACAUAUAACUUUAUCUCCAUGGAAGAAAACUGGGAUUUUCUUGUGCACAGGGUUGGACUUAAGAAGCAACUCACUUUUGGGAUUUAAGGUCUCUUCAACAACCUCAUAAUCUAAACCCUUAAGGUUAAGGGCAAUCUGCACCCUCAGGGCAAAUGGACUGAACCAAGCACCCAAAAGCCACAAGUCAUUUUUAGCCAUAUAAAAGAUCAAAAUGCACUGUGUUACUUAAAAGGAAAUGAUGCAUUUUAUGUAUGUGAAAGAAAGUGAGAUAACAUUGUGGGAUGUAUCAGAUAAGAAUCAACUUACAAGUUGAGCAGAGACACGUACAACAGUGCUUGGGACACAGUAAUUCAAGUGGGACGGACCAAUUAAUAAUUAUACUGCAUGCAUUGCAAAAUGCAAAGAACAAGCCAGAAUUGAUGUGGUCUUUUGUUUUUUAUAUGAUAUAUCUUUCUUUAGAUUUUUUUUACUAGGUCUUUAGAUCUAGAUAAUAGGAAAAAAUGCGUUGGUUAUUAAUUUUUUAUUAAAAGAAUUAAUUUAUUCUAUGAACUGAUUUAUUUUUUUGUUAAAUUUGAAUCGUUUUAAAAUACUAGCAUAGUCACGCACAUUAAACAUAAUAAUAUUAUUAAUAUGAAAUGAUUAAUUUUAUUUUUUUAAGUCGAUUCAAUCUUAUAAAAUUGAUAAUUUUGAAGAAAUAAAAGUAGAAUAAUUUUUUUAUGGGCGGCUCAAUAUUCCAAAAAUCAUAGAAUAAUGAUGCAUGGUUUUUUUUACCCUAGCUUUGAGAUAAAAAAAUAGAAAAGAAAAUAAGUGAAAAUGUAAUUAGUAAUGUGACUUAGCAUGAAGAUAGAAACACACAGAAAUAAAGGAUAUAAUAAAGGAUAGAAGAUAAGUAUUUGUAACAUGAGAUAUCAUUGUUUGACCAUAUAUAAUUUACGUCUAAUUUGAAUUGAGUUAUAUGUAAAUUUAUUCAAGAGGAUAUUUUGAUAACAUGGUUGUUUGAUGGUUAAAUAAAGAGUGAUUAUAUUUUGAUGAAAAUUCAGUUAAUAACUUUUUUUUUUCAUUUUCUUUAUCAUAUUACAUCAUCAAUCAAAUUAAUCAUUUAUUUCUCGUAUUUUUUUCUCUGAAGUUAUAGACAAUUCAAAAUUAUCCAAGAAACAUUUUUUUAAAUAAAGAACUUAAAAAAGAGAAAUUUUAAAAAUUUCAGAUAACAAAUACACUGAAGGCAAUAUCCUUACAUAUCUACAGAACACGCAAGGAAUGCCACACUUUUUUUGAAAAUUACCCCACAAGAAGCCGGGCGAGGAGCUCUUUUGGUCGCACCAUCCGUGUUGCACUUAAUAGAGUUACAUUGAGGAGGAAAUCAAAUCUACUUGAAUUAUCCCAAAACCUUCCAAAAAGGAUGAACUAAUCUUUGGCCUUGUCAUCCAAUUUUUUAAAUAUGCAAAUCUGAUCCCGAGGAGACUUAGAAAUAGAUGAUUAAACCAUACAGAGUUAGCUAAAAAGAUUAAUUUUAGAUACUCGCAUCUUUAGAGAAGAAAAUUCUAAAUUGGCCUCUUUUUUUUCGCAAUAGGUAUGCUUAAUGUUUUACCCUUCUUUAGCUUUAUCUUGGGUUAGGUUUAUGCCCUCAAGUUUUAUUUUAUUUUUAUUUUAAUCUUGCCUUUUUAAAUAAAUUUGGGUGUGCUGCGUCUUAGCACUCCUUAUUGCUAUAUAUAUAUAUAUAUAUAUAUAUAUAUAUAUAUAUAUAUAAAUGAGACAUGACCUACAAUCAACAGACAGAGACUCAGUUGCUAGCAGAGGCAACCUAAACAAACAAAUACAAAAGCAUAAUUUUUUUUAUCCCAAUUGUUAAUUCUCUUCAAGUGAGAUUCGGACUCUUCAAUUGAAAGGUUACCCUCACAACUCAAAAGUCAAAACCGAAGACACUCCCCUUUUUCUCUACUUUAUUUAUAAACCUUUUAUUUUAAAGUUAUUUUUAAACCAACAUAAAGUUAGAACAAAGAUAGCCUACAAGGAAAAAAAAAAUCACAAUUUCAAAGCCAAGUAAUCUUGCAAUUAGUUCCAUUUACUUUGCAGCUGCAGCAGCCCAUCUUUUCUUAAGACUCUCGGCAUACUCAACAAGCUUGUGAGUCUCUGGAAGAACACCCUUCACAGCAGCAUCAGCAGAAAACGUUUCAGCCCAUUUAGCCAAAGAAGGGUUCUUUGCUUCAUCAAACACUUUUCUUCCAUUCAUCUCUUCUAUCACUCUCAUCCAACUCCAAAGGCUCCCAAAAACAAUGUCAACAAUUCCAAUUGUAUCCCCUCCAAAGUAUGUCUUUCCUUCACUGCACUUGUUGAACACUUCUUCCAUCCUCUCAAGUGCUUCUUCCAUUUCCACAAAGUGUGAUUUCUUUGCCUCGUCGUCAUCUCCAGCCAGUAGAACACUUUUCAAGGACGUAACCCACUACUCCCAGUAGAAAAAAAUACACCAAAAAAUAUUAAGUACUCAUGCAAUAAAAAUUAAAAUCACAUGAAAACUAAGCUUAUGGUGAUAAUUAAGUUUUCAUAUGCAACUUACUAAAAAAAACUUAGGAAAAGAAAGGAUCAAGGUACACUUUUAAUUUGGAUUUUAUAAUAAGGGUUGGAUGGAGUAAAUUAUUUCUAACAUUAGAUAGUAGGAAUAAGAAUAAGCAAAAUUAAAAAAGGAGUGAAGGCACAGAAAUAUAAAUACCUUGUCAUCGAUGUAAGAAACCCAAAAUCGGGCAUUAGCUCGAUCAUAUGCAUUUUGUGGAAGGAUGGAGAGAGCAUUGUUGGACCAAACCUCAUCUAUGUACUCAACUAUGAUUGCAGAUUCACAUAUGACUUUAUCUCCAUGGAAGAAAACUGGGAUUUUCUUGUGCACAGGGUUGGACUUAAGAAGCAAUUCACUUUUGGGAUUCAAAGUCUCUUCAACAACCUCAUAAUCCAAACCCUUGAGGUUAAGGGCAAUCUGCACCCUCAGGACAAAUGGACUGAACCAAGCACCCAAAAGCCUCAAGUCCCUUUGAGCCAUCACUGUUUACUAUAACAGGUCAAACACGGAGCAAUGCUGUGUUUGUUUUGUUAGGUUACUCAGCAGGAAAUGUGGAGUUUUAUGUAUGGGAAAGGAGGGUGAGAUAACAUUGUG
rnacentral:lncRNA from 1 species